GACGAACGCUGGCGGCGUGCUUAACACAUGCAAGUCGAACGGAAAGGCCCUGCUUUUGUGGGGUGCUCGAGUGGCGAACGGGUGAGUAACACGUGAGUAACCUGCCCUUGACUUUGGGAUAACUUCAGGAAACUGGGGCUAAUACCGGAUAGGAGCUCCUGCUGCAUGGUGGGGGUUGGAAAGUUUCGGCGGUUGGGGAUGGACUCGCGGCUUAUCAGCUUGUUGGUGGGGUAGUGGCUUACCAAGGCUUUGACGGGUAGCCGGCCUGAGAGGGUGACCGGCCACAUUGGGACUGAGAUACGGACGAGACGCCGACGGGAGGCAGCAGUGGGGAAUAUUGCACAAUGGGCGGAAGCCUGAUGCAGCAACGCCGCGUGCGGGAUGACGGCUGUCGGGUUGUAAACAGCGUUCGCCUGUGAAGAAGCGGGAGGGACGGUAAUGGGUAAAGAAGCACCGGCUAACUACGUG
rnacentral:rRNA from 1 species